UACGUAGGCAGCGAGCGUUGUUCGGAGUUACUGGGCGUAAAGGGCGCGUAGGCGGUUGUUUAAGUUUGGUGUGAAAUCUCCCGGCUCAACUGGGAGGGUGCGCCGAAUACUGAAUGACUAGAGUGCGGGAGAGGAGAGUGGAAUUCCUGGUGUAGCGGUGAAAUGCGUAGAUAUCAGGAGGAACACCGGUGGUGUAGACGGCUCUCUGGACCGUAACUGACGCUGAGGCACGAAAGCGUGGGUAGCAAACAGG
rnacentral:rRNA from 1 species